AUAGGGGACCGGGCCGCCUUGGACCCCCUCUCUGUAUUUUUUGUUUUUCUUUUGGGUUUUUUGUUUAUUUUCGGUAGAGAGAAUUCUGGCUACGAUCGCCACAGAAUUCUCCUUGGAUUUUUUUUUGUGUGUGUGCGGCGGAGGUUGUUGCGUUGUGUCUAGGUUGCAACUCCGUUUCUUUUAGUAGUGUCACGGCUUGAACCGCUUGAAGCUUUUUUCUUGGUUAUGUUAUUGCCGUUCCCUUGGCCCUGUCGUUUUCCUUCCGGAGCUGGCGUCUGCUUCCUGCAUGCUGCGGCUGGGCUGCAGUGGUCUCCUCCGGCGCCGUGGAGCUCUUGGGAUGCUCUUAGGCGCUAGCCGGAGUGCUGGGAUUUUUUGCCUACGUCGAUUCUCGUGCGGGGAAGAAGCUCUCACUACUGGAUCCUCGUUGGCCGUCCAGGUGUUUUGCUGUGGUGGUUGUGCGUUGCGGCUGAGUGUUGAAUGCGACUAGCAUCGCAUUGAGCUGGUUGCGGUGUGGUACAUCCGAGGCUCACCCAGUCUUCACGUUCCCGUUCCAGUUGUCGAGCAGCCGCAUGUGGUGACAUCUAUACGUUGGGUGGUAAUGCCUCCGGUGAAGGUAGUUGCGAUUGGUCAAGAAGAUCGACGACAUUGUUUGAGUAGAAUCCUUCCCUGUUUUGAUUUUUUGUAGGUUCUUUCUUAGGCUCCAAUUGUCACGGUAUUUCCGUAAUUCAAUUUUCUUGUGGAGCGGUUCCCUGGCGCCGCGAAGUUGCUGAUCUGGUGGCGGUGGCAGCAGUCACUGUGUGCGGCUGUUGGUUUCAGCGGUGCUGAUCCCCUCGUCAUCGACGUUCGACCUCGUGGCGACUGGAGCUUCGAUGCGGUCCAGAUCUCCUUUUCUCUGUUUUCUCGUUCAUGUGCUGUGUUUUUUUUCAAAGCUCCGUAGGUUGCGGUGUGCUGCGGCAAGGAUGUUGUGUAUUUUGGUGUUGCAGUAAUGUUGCGAAUUGCAACGGUGCCUCCAACUUCCCUUUUGUAUUCCCUCUUGGUCACUGGAGUUAGCGAAUCCUGGACUUUGCGGCUGUGGACGUUGCUGUAUUGGGGUUUCAAGGAGCAAGCUGGUUCAUAUGUUUCCUUAGGUGGCGUUCUUUUUCUGGUAGAGUGCAGAAGCAUUGCCGGUGUUUCUUACGUCAAAUUCCUCUUGCGGUGUCGGCAGUGUUCAGCUCGUGGUUAGUGUAGCAAGGUGCAAUAAAAGAUCACCUGCACCGAAUUCUUGUUAUUUUUGUUCUCCGCCUUGUUGACCAGUGGUGUUUGGCAACAAGGCAACGUUGCCAUUAUCAUUCUCUGAGUGCGGCUGGAUCAACAAUUUAGGAGUAGUGCUGUAAUGCAAGUCAAUCUCCUUGGCCCAAGAUUGAUUGGAGCGGCCCAAGAUUGUCCUUACAAAGUUACGCAUUGUCGGAGCUACUGGUGGUUUGAUCUCUGCAAUUGGUGAACCUGCUGCUCAACGGAUCGAGAGGAAAGAGCUGCGGUUGUAGUAGAUCAGCGGCACUGUGAGCAUGCUCUUGUGUUUGAGGUGGCUCAAGGCGGCUGUUAGAGGAAGGAUUUAAAAAAUUGGAUUGCUCAUUUCGAAGUUGCGCGCGCCGAACCAGUUGAGCGGGAACAUCAACCUUGGAGCGGCGAUCUACUGUAACAAUUGCUCGAGAGGGUAUGGAGCUUGCUGGGCAACGACGACGACCUAUGUUCAUCCACAACUCCUCUUUGUACAAUCUCAAGUGGGAGAGUAAAUUAGGUUAAGGCACAAAUUAGGAUUUGGAUGAAUAAGUGUAGAUGAAGUUUAAUUAAGAAUGAAUUGAGUAGUUAAGAAAUUAUUCAAAGAUGAGAAGUGAUUCACGGAUGAUAAUUUAUGCAUGGAUGAAGUUUUGUAAAUGGACGAAAUUUUAUUCAUAUAAAAUAAAAUAAAAAUAAUAAAAAAAAAUUAAGAAUUAA